AAUGAACGUUGGCGGCGUGGAUUAGGCAUGCAAGUCGCGCGAGAACUGUAGCAAUACAGGGAAAGCGGCGUAAGGGACAGUAAUACCUAGAAACGUACCCCCGGGUCUGGGAUAGCGGCGGGAAACUGCCGGUAAUACCAGAUAACGUCUCCGGACCAAAGGUGUGAUUCCACCUGGGGAGCGGUCUAGGCCCUAUUAGCUUGUUGGUGGGGUAACGGCCUACCAAGGCAAAGAUGGGUAGCAGGUGUGAGAGCACGACCUGCGUCACUGGGACUGAGACACUGCCCAGACACCUACGGGUGGCUGCAGUCGAGAAUCUUCGGCAAUGGGCGCAAGCCUGACCGAGCGACGCCGCGUGCGGGAUGAAGGCCUUCGGGUUGUAAACCGCUGUCGAAGGGGAUGAAAUUCCGGUGGGUUCUCCUGCCGGAUUGACAGAUCCUUGGAGGAAGGACGGGCUAAGUUCGUGCCAGCAGCCGCAGUAAAAC
rnacentral:rRNA from 1 species